rnacentral:rRNA from 1 species
UACGAGGGGGGCAAAUGUUGUUCGGAAUCACUGGGCGUAAAGGGAGCGUAGGCGGUCACGCACGUCCGUUGUGAAAUCGCUCGGCUCAACUGGGCGGGGUCAGCGGAUACGGCGUGGCUGGAGCAAGCUAGGGGGCAAUGGAAUUCCCGGUGUAGUGGUGGAAUGCGUAGAUAUCGGGAGGAACACCAGUGGCGAAGGCGGUUGCCUGGAGCUUUGCUGACGCUGAUGCGCGAAAGCGUGGGGAGCGAUCCGG